CCGAUGCUCUGUUCUUCUGCAGACGUCAUCACUGGGACCUGCUUAGCCUUCACAGCCAGGAAGAGCAGAGCGAGGUGGAGCAGCUGCUGAGCCGCAGUCCUUUCCCUCUCACAGACUAUGUUUGGCUUGGGUUGCGCAGAUACCUAAUGGGCGACAGGUGGUUCUGGAUGUCUGGCGAUUCCAUGAAAUUCACCAAAUGGUGGCGAGAUUCUGCUCCUAGCCAUUACUCCAGCCCCUGUGGAGGUAUGGCCAGAGGAGAGCUCUUCCUGUGGGAGGACCAGCCUUGUGGGAAGCACCUCAAUUUCAUUUGCCAGUCAGGUGCUGAGAGCGGAACACAACGAGUGUAUUUCUACAGCACAAGGAAAGCCGCAGAUCCUUAGUUAGGGUUAAUAAUAUUCAAGGCAUUCUCACUCCCAACUUGUCAUAUACGGCAGCUCAGUCAGGAGCACUUUAGUAUUUCCAUUUGUAGUUUAACAUUUGGCAGUAUGGCUGUGUUCUGGGGCCUCUUUGCUUUUUCUAGGCCUAUGCAGAAAGCCUCUUCCACGCACCUACGUGGUAAGCCUAAGACAGGGAGAGCACACCUCUCUGCCCUUCCAUGUGCCUAAGUGGAAAGCUUAAGGCCGAGAGAGCACACCUCUCUGCCCUUCCACCCUUCCUAAGGGCCACUGUCCAAGCAGCUGUAUUUAAGGAGCUGGGAGUGAGAACAUGUUGUACUAUUAGAAUCUGUAUUUUUAAGUUAGCUUGCAAAUAGCGACUAUAAACUGCCUGCGCUCCUUGUAUGUUAUCAACUAGUGUUUGAGUGGCACUUCAACACGUUAUGUUUCUGCACAAAACAUGGAUCAGAACCCAAAGUCUCGACCACCUGGAUGCCUUUAUUUUCAUGCUCUUGAUAUGUGGGUUAAAGUAACUGUAAUCUCAUAUUACCAGUUAUUGCAUUUGUGCUGUGGUGAAGCUUGUGUGGUCUCUGUGAACUAUACCGCCAUGUACUGAGUUGCAAUCACAGUGAUGAAUGACUGAUUUAAAGGGUUUUUCAACCUGGAUCCUAUUUUCCUAAGUUUUUGUGUCUAAGGGACCAAUGGUAACAAAAUUUUGUGAAGUUGGUCCAGUAUUUACAAGCUGAAAUGUAACCACUUGGGGCAUAUGCACCAUCAAUUGAUGUCCACUAAAAGUGCUUGUUUUUGCGACUGACGGGCUCCAGUUAUUUUUUAGUGUCCGAC